rnacentral:rRNA from 1 species
UACGGAGGGUGCUAGCGUUGUUCGGAAUCACUGGGCGUAAAGGGCGUGUAGGCGGUCUGUUAAGUGGGAUGUGAAAUCCCCGGGCUCACCCCGGGACCUGCAUCCCAAACUGCUGAGCUUGAGUACAGGAGAGGGUGGGGGAAUUCCAGGUGUAGCGGUGAAAUGCGUAGAUAUCUGGAGGAACACCGGUGGCGAAGGCGGCUCUCUGGGACGGUACUGACGCUGAGACGCGAAAGCGUGGGGAGCGAACAGG